UCCCGCAACGGGGCCAACCCUUUUUCCUUUGUGCCAGCGGUCCGGCCGGGAACUCAAAGGAGACUGCCAGUGAUAAACUGGAGGAAGGUGGGGAUGACGUCAAGUCAUCAUGGCCCUUACGAGUAGGGCUACACACGUGCUACAAUGGCGCAUACAAAGAGAAGCGAACUCGCGAGAGCAAGCGGGCCUCAUAAAGUGCGUCGUAGUCCGGAUUGGAGUCUGCAACUCGACUCCAUGAAGUCGGAAUCGCUAGUAAUCGUAGAUCAGAAUGCUACGGUGAAUACGUUCCCGGGCCUUGUACACACCGCCCGUCACACCAUGGGAGUGGGUUGCAAAAGAAGUAGGUAGCUUAACCUUCGGGAGGGCGCUUACCACUUUGUGAUUCAUGACUGGGGUGAAGUCGUAACAAGGUA
rnacentral:rRNA from 1 species